rnacentral:lncRNA from 1 species
GCUCUCCUUCUUUGGAGUAAGGCUGAUGAAGGCAUAGUUGAGUCUCCCAAUAUCUAAAUUCCUGCUAUGGAGAACUUCUCCAAAAAAGUCAGUAGAUUAGCAUAAAGAAGAUUCUAGUAUUUUUGAAAGAAGGAGAAGGCAAAUUCAUCCGGCUUAGGCACCCUGGAGCUACCCAAUGAGAAAACUGCUCUCCUUAUUUCCUCUAUAUUAAAGUGCUGUGCAAGUAUGCUGAAAUCACAUGAGUCAAUACCAUACAAUUCACCCUAAUUCUUUGCAAUAAAAAGAGAAGAGGAGCAGCCAAAG